AGCUCCAAUAGCGUAUAUUAAAGUUGUUGCAGUUAAAAAGCUCGUAGUUGGAUUUCGGAUUGGACCAGAUAGUCGGCCGCAAGGUCAGUUACUGACCGGUUCGGUCUUCUUCACAAAGAAUGCGUGUGCUCUUCGUUGAGUGUGCGUAGGAUUUACGACGUUUACUUUGAAAAAAUUAGAGUGUUCAAAGCAGGCUAUCGCUUGAAUACACGAGCAUGGAAUAAUGGAAUAGGUAUUUGGUUCUAUUUUGUUGGUUUCUAGGACCGAAGUAAUGAUUAAGAGGGACAAUUGGGGGCAUCCGUAUUUUGUUGUCAGCGGUGAAAUUCUUGGAUUUACGAAAGACGAACAACUACGAAAGCACUUGCCAAGAGUGUUUUCAUUAAUCAAGAACGAAAGUAGG
rnacentral:rRNA from 1 species